rnacentral:lncRNA from 1 species
GAUAAUACUGAACCUCACAUUUGAGGAGCAGCUAGCUGUGUACUCUAAACUCGGGCAGAUCAUCCAGGAGAGGACGUUUGGAGAAUCUUGAGUACUUCAGAUAAUCAGUGUAUGAGUGAUGUAGCCUUUAGAUAAGAAUAUCUUGUAUAUCUUCUCUCCUUUUUGUUUACGUAGCGUUUCCCACUGGCCUUAGACUUUUCACAAGCUGUACAGUGCUUGCCUCUCUUCUUUUUUCAUUUAGUUGUUUCGAUAGUUCAGUGAAUCUAUAUCUUCCCCAAGUAAUAGGCACGGCGAAGCAUCAUUUGUGAAAAUUCCUGCACUGAUCAGGAAAGUGAGCGGAUCCAAAGCUAAUUGAUCUGGUUUCUUCAGAUAAUCAAUGUACGAGUGAUGUAGCAUUUAGAUAAGAAUAUCUUGUAUAUCUUCUCUCCUUUUGUUUUUCCCUUAGAACUUAGUGUUCCCACUGGCCUUCACUUUUCGCAAGCUGUACAGUGCUUAUUUCUCUUCUUUUUUCAUUUAGUUGUUUCGAUAGUUCAGUGAAUCUAUAUCUUACCCAAAUAAUAGGCAC